UACAGAGGUCCCAAGCGUUGUUCGGAUUCACUGGGCGUAAAGGGUGCGUAGGCGGUCGGGUAAGUCUGAUGUGAAAUCUCACAGCUUAACUGUGAAACUGCAUUGGAUACUAUCCGGCUAGAGGAAUGGAGGGGAGACUGGAAUACUUGGUGUAGCAGUGAAAUGCGUAGAUAUCAAGUGGAACACCAGUGGCGAAGGCGGCCAUCUGGCUCGGUACUGACGCUCAGGUUCGAAAGCGUGGGGAGCAAACAGG
rnacentral:rRNA from 1 species